rnacentral:rRNA from 1 species
GACGAACGCUGGCGGCGUGCUUAACACAUGCAAGUCGAACGGAGUGGCGAACGGGUGAGUAAAACGUGGGUGACCUUCCCUGCACUUCGGGAUAAGCCUGUGAAACUGGGUCUAUUACAGGCUAGUGUGGGCGGGGCCCGCGGCCUAUGCGCUUGUGGGUGGGGUAAGGGCCUACCAAGGCGGCGCCGGGUAGCCGGCCUGUGAGGGUGGACGGCCACAUUGGGACUGAGAAACGGCCCAUACUCCUACGGGGGGCAGCAGUGGGGAAUAUUGCACAAUGGGCGGAAGCCUGAUGCAGCGCGGCCGCGUGGGGGAUGACGGCCUUCGGGUUGUAAACUCCUUUCCCCAUCGACGCGGUAGAUGGAGAAGAAGCACCGGCUAACUACGUGCCAGCAGCCGCGGUAAUAC